AUCUACGGUCAUGCUACCCUGAACAAGCCCAAUCCCACCUGAUCUCGAAAGGUAAGCAGGGUCAGAGCCUGGUUUGUACUUGCAUGGGAGACCAUCUAGGAAGACCAGGUGCUGUAGGCA
rnacentral:rRNA from 1 species